CAAAGGCUUGGUCCUGGCCUUGCUAACAGCUCUAGCCAAACUUACACAUGCAAGUAUCCGCACCCCCGUGAGAAUGCCCUACGCGCCCUGCCCGGGCGCUAGGAGCUGGUAUCAGGCACACAUACACCGUAGCCCACGACACCUUGCUUAGCCACACCCCCAAGGGAACUCAGCAGUGAUAGACCUUAAGCCAUAAGUGAAAACUUGACUUAGUUAUGGUUAAAAGGGCCGGUAAAACUCGUGCCAGCCACCGCGGUUAUACGAGAGGCCCAAGUUGUUAGCCGCCGGCGUAAAGAGUGGUUAGAAUAUUUGACACCAAACUGAGGCCGAACUUCUUCAAGGCAGUUAUACGCUCUCGAAGACAUGAAGUACAAAUACGAAGGUAGCCUCACCCAAUUUGAACCCACGAAAGCUAAGGCACAAACUGGGAUUAGAUACCCCACUAUGCUUAGCCCUAAACAAAGACAGUAAUUACACCCAUGAUCCGCCCGGACAUUACGAGCAUUAGCUUAAAACCCAAAGGACUUGGCGGUGCUUUAAAACCAUCUAGAGGAGCCUGUUCUAGAACCGAUAACCCCCGUUAAACCUCACCCCUCCUUGUCAUACCCGCCUAUAUACCACCGUCGUAAGCCUACCCUGUGAGGGUCCAAUAGUGAGCAAAACUGGCAUAGCCCUGAACGUCAGGUCGAGGUGUAGCGUAUGGAGGGGGAAGAAAUGGGCUACAUUCUCUACACAGAGAACACGAAUGAUGUGUUGAAACACACAUCUGAAGGAGGAUUUAGCAGUAAGCAAGAAGCAGAGAGUCUCGCUGAAACUGGCCAUGAAGCGCGCACACACCGCCCGUCACUCUCCCCGAACCAUAAAACCACAUAUCUAAUAGCCUAACAGACCAAGAGGGGAGGCAAGUCGUAACAUGGUAAGUGUACCGGAAGGUGCACUUGGAAAAAC
rnacentral:ncRNA from 1 species